rnacentral:lncRNA from 1 species
GAUUAUAUACUCCCAUUUGAGAGUGGUCUUGACUGAUAUAUGAUAAUUUGAUUCUAAUGAUAGGAUAGUAAGAUCUCAAUUCAGUCUUGUUUUCACUUGUAUGAUUCUAAUGAUACACAAUUGUUUCAGGUCAUCUCCUUGUGUUUUGCUUGUACUCUAAAACUCGAAGCUCCAUCCAACAGGAUAUUAGAGGACAACACGGAAAACAUUGAAGCCCCUCUUUUAUCGUAAGCAUUAACAAAAACUUGCCAACAUGUAUGGCGUGCUUAUUAAACUAGAUUAUACGAUGUUGGAUGAUAUCGAGUAAAAAAAUAAGUUAUAAUUUUAUCCAUCGUAUUUUGUAAUCCAGUCUCGUGUACCAUACAUGACUAAAUUAUAGUUAACUAAUGGUGUCACAAGGAAAGUUUUUCUUCCUCAUUUUUCAAGAGUUGUACAUGUGGAUGAGGUAGUUAUAUGUAGAUUUUUUGGGAAUGUUUCCGCACACAUAUUUGCGGUUUAUGUAAAAUUUCUUUUUCUUUGUAUGAUGCUCCUUGCAUUUUUUAAUUUGACGUGGACUAAAAUUUAAACAAAUGUGUUUACUCUAUGAUAGAUUAAGGUUUUAAAUGAAGUUAUUCAGUAUAAUAUUAGAGCAAGAUAAAAUUUUGGAUUCAAGUGUAACCUCAACUCAUCUAUGAAAAUUGUGCUUGUGUGAAGUAUAUAUUUGUGUAAAUUGGAUAAAAAUGUUAAAUCUCGCUGCUGGUGAAUGGUUAUGUUAAGUAUAUAUUUUAAUAAUUAAAAGAAACUACUCCAAAAAGUUGGAAGGUAUAUUUAAUUUAGAUUUUCAAAUACUUUUAGACUAGAGGCUUAAUUCAUAAGAAAAUCAACUUGUCAAACUCUUUCUCCUUCACUAAGAAAUGG